CCUACGGGAGGCAGCAGUAGGGAAUCUUCCACAAUGGGCGAAAGCCUGAUGGAGCAACGCCGCGUGGGUGAAGAAGGUCUUCGGAUCGUAAAACCCUGUUGUUAGAGAAGAAAGUGCGUGAGAGUAACUGUUCACGUUUCGACGGUAUCUAACCAGAAAGCCACGGCUAACUACGUGCCAGCAGCCGCGGUAAUACGUAGGUGGCAAGCGUUAUCCGGAUUUAUUGGGCGUAAAGGGAACGCAGGCGGUCUUUUAAGUCUGAUGUGAAAGCCUUCGGCUUAACCGGAGUAGUGCAUUGGAAACUGGGAGACUUGAGUGCAGAAGAGGAGAGUGGAACUCCAUGUGUAGCGGUGAAAUGCGUAGAUAUAUGGUAGAACACCAGUGGCGAAAGCGGCUCACUGGUCUGUAACUGACGCUGAGGUUCGAAAGCGUGGGUAGCAAACAGGAUUAGAUACCCCAGUAGUC
rnacentral:rRNA from 1 species